UGAUAUCAAUUCCCUCAGGUUUUUGUAAUGAAGGCCUGUUAGGUGAAUUGGAUUUGGAGGUUUUAGUGCAGGUCCCCCCCUUCUGCCAUUCUAUGAAUUAGGGGGGGGGGAUCAGCUCCUCUUAAAUGCAUUAAGUUAGAGUAUGAAAGCAAGUGGGGGCUCUUUAGCACUUUUUCACUUGCUAUGGUGUAAUAAUUAUUCCAUCAUAGCUUUUGAGUGAAUAAAGUGUGCAUGACUGGAGCCUCAUUGUUAGACUUGCUCUGCUUUUCUAAUUGUCAGUCCUUGACUGAUGAUCAUGUAUUUGACUC
rnacentral:misc_RNA from 1 species